rnacentral:rRNA from 1 species
GAUGAACGCUGGCGGCGUGCCUAAUACAUGCAAGUCGAGCGAACAGACGAGGAGCUUGCUCCUCUGACGUUAGCGGCGGACGGGUGAGUAACACGUGGAUAACCUACCUAUAAGACUGGGAUAACUUCGGGAAACCGGAGCUAAUACCGGAUAAUAUAUUGAACCGCAUGGUUCAAUAGUGAAAGACGGUUUUGCUGUCACUUAUAGAUGGAUCCGCGCCGCAUUAGCUAGUUGGUAAGGUAACGGCUUACCAAGGCGACGAUGCGUAGCCGAACUGAGAGGGUGAUCGGCCACACUGGAACUGAGACACGGUCCAGACUCCUAAGGGAGGCAGCAGUAGGGAAUCUUCCGCAAUGGGCGAAAGCCUGACGGAGCAACGCCGCGUGAGUGAUGAAGGUCUUCGGAUCGUAAAACUCUGUUAUUAGGGAAGAACAAAUGUGUAAGUAACUAUGCACGUCUUGACGGUACCUAAUCAGAAAGCAACGGCUAACUACGUG